GCAUGUGGUUUAAUUCGAAGCAACGCGAAGAACCUUACCAGGCCUUGACAUGCAGAGAACUUUCCAGAGAUGGAUUGGUGCCUUCGGGAACUCUGACACAGGUGCUGCAUGGCUGUCGUCAGCUCAUGUCGUGAGAUGUUGGGUUAAGUCCCGUAACGAGCGCAACCCUUGUCCUUAGUUACCAGCACGUUAUGGUGGGCACUCUAAGGAGACUGCCGGUGACAAACCGGAGGAAGGUGGGGAUGACGUCAAGUCAUCAUGGCCCUUACGGCCUGGGCUACACACGUGCUACAAUGGUCGGUACAAAGGGUUGCCAAGCCGCGAGGUGGAGCUAAUCCCAUAAAACCGAUCGUAGUCCGGAUCGCAGUCUGCAACUCGACUGCGUGAAGUCGGAAUCGCUAGUAAUCGUGAAUCAGAAUGUCACGGUGAAUACGUUCCCGGGCCUU
rnacentral:rRNA from 1 species